UCCAAAGUGCUGAGUUUAGGGCAGUUUCCCUGGUCUGUUAAUUAAAAGCCAGGACAUUGAAAUUGGCCAAGGGAGAUGACUAAAUAGAAAGUACUUCUAUUCACUUCCUUCUAGCCAAGAAGC
ensembl:snoRNA